UUUUUCGAAUAGACAGUACCUUCCAAGUUGAUUUUGAUAGUGUUUUGAUCGGUUUUCUGAGAUUUUGUUUUUGAACUUUAAAAUAAACCCAAAAUAUAAGAUAGAUUGUUAGUAUAAAACUUUGAUUCAAUAAAAACUGAUUGUCUUUGUCAUGAUUUUGACAGUUAUCUUCUUAAAAAGAUUUCUUAGUAUUGAAACAGAGUUUUAUACUAAUAAACUGAUUUUAUUAUUUGGAUCUUUGUUAACAUUUGUAUUUUUCAUUUGUUUAUACAAUAUUCAUAGUUUGGUUCAUUGUUCAUACAUCAAUUAAUUUUUGGAUCAUACAAUUUUUUACACAUCUGGAGUUUCUUUCAUUAUGUGGAUAUACAUAUUAUAUAAGAGAUAUGGUGAUUAGUUUGCAAGAAUAUUCAUCUUCAAAAGAAAUCAUUUUAUUUUAUAUCUAAAUGAAUUCCCGGUCACAACAAUCUAAGUUUUUAUUUUUCUAAUGUACUGUGUAAGUUCUAAAUGUUGGUCUUCAAUUUCUUCAAGUUUGAAAACAAGCUUAUGCUUUUUGAUAUAAUGUUAUUUUUGUGCACUUUGAUAUGCUGUCUAAGUUUCAAACUUUUGAUCUUGAUUUCUAGAUUUUGAUUUUCUUUCAAGUUUGAAUAACAAUAAUCAUUGAGAUGUCAAUUGUUAAUACAAUUUAUUUUUCUAUAAGACUCUUUAGAACGGCAAGUCAAAGAUUGUAUCUCUUAGCAUAUCACUUUUCUAUGAUAGAACUUUUUUUCUCAUCCAAACUCAGUAUGUGAAACAUUUUAACUUGUAGUUCCUGAAAAAGAAAAUGGCUCAAACAAACUUACGUUUCAAAGUCGGUCAAACUCUUGAAGUAAGAUCUUUCGAAGAUGGAUAUCGUGGAGCUUGGCUUCGAUGCGAGUGUUGUUGCUCAUCAUCCUCUUCCAUCUGCCUCUUCAUACUCUUCAAAACUCAUCGCCAAUAAUUUUAAACUCUUGAAUGUUAUUGAGUUACGGUGGCAGCGAAAUGAACCGUCACCGUUGAUAUCACCUCCAACCAAGGCGAAGUCAGUAGCAUCCAGAAACUCACGAUAUUAAACAUAUACACGAAGGAGGGGAAACUGUUCUAGAGCUUGAAGUCUCUUGAUUACGAUGAAAAAGAGAUAUAUCACACACAAGUCUAUCAACGGUUUGAAGAUGAGGAGAAAGAGUGGCUGAUGGUUCGACCAUCAUAUCCACCAUUUUAUUAUGAGCGCCAUGUCCGUAAAAUCGAGGCUGAUCAAGCACCUCUUGUUGUCGUUUAUGGCUCUUGGAAGGUAGGAACACUGUAUCUGGUGUGCAACGGUAUUGGAAAUGGAGAGAAAUGCAUUACAGAUUGAGUUUUUUCCACCACCACUCGGUGAAGGAGAAACGUAUAAAGCUUUACGCAAGGAGGUGCGUCCAACAUUGGAUUGGUCACUUGAAGAUGGCUGGACACUGCCAAAUAUGGAUGGACGAAAAAGUCGAAGUGUUAAACUCUUGAAAAGUGAGAAAGGAGAUCAUGUAACUCCAUGUGCUGACCAAACUGGAAAAGAGCAAACAGAGAGAGCUAAGAGGCAGAGGACAGAGAGAGAAAUGCAGCAAAAGAAAGGCAGAGGAGAGAUUCGACUAAAUAUAGAAGAGUCAGAUUCAGUUGAAGCUGCAGUUUAUGACUUGGAAGAGCUUAUCGUUAGAAUUGAAUGGAUAAAAAAGAUGCUAAGCCCAGAUGUUGGAGAAGGUUCAACGUGGAAAUAUCAAGAUUACCGCCCAUCUUCCAAGGGAAUGUGAAUUCAUAGUGGUGAUAGGUUUAGCCGUUAGGAGUUGAAACUGAUAGCUAGUGAAGUUCGAUGAAGAAACCAUGAGCGAAAUGGAAAAAAACUAGAGUUUUGUGAAACACCGGAAAAGACUUAUUGAUGAUGUAGGCUGUGUAUAUAUUUUUUCAAACUCCCUAAGAAUGCUAAUGACCAAUUUCAUCUUUGUACACAUGUUUUGGAUUUUAGUUGGGAAAUAUGUAGUUAACCUUUUUA